rnacentral:rRNA from 1 species
UGGGGAAUAUUGCACAAUGGGCGCAAGCCUGAUGCAGCCAUGCCGCGUGUAUGAAGAAGGCCUUCGGGUUGUAAAGUACUUUCAGCGGGGAGGAAGGGAGUAAAGUUAAUACCUUUACUCAUUGACGUUACCCGCAGAAGAAGCACCGGCUAACUCCGUGCCAGCAGCCGCGGUAAUACGGAGGGUGCAAGCAUUAAUCGGAAUUACUGGGCGUAAAGCGCACGCAGGCGGUUUGUUAAGUCAGAUGUGAAAUCCCCGGGCUCAAACUGGGAACUGCAUCUGAUACUGGCAAGCUUGAGUCUCGUAGAGGGGGGUAGAAUUCCAGGUGUAGCGGUGAAAUGCGUAGAGAUCUGGAGGAAUACCGGUGGCGAAGGCGGCCCCCUGGACGAAGACUGACGCUCAGGUGCGAAAGCGUGGGGAGCAAACAGG